rnacentral:rRNA from 1 species
UGGGGAAUCUUGGACAAUGGACGAAAGUCUGAUCCAGCAACGCCGCGUGAGCGAUGAAGGCCUUCGGGUCGUAAAGCUCUGUCAGAUGGAACGAAAGAAGCUAACCUAACACGCUAGCUGUUGACGGUACCAUCAAAGGAAGCACCGGCUAACUCUGUGCCAGCAGCCGCGGUAAGACAGAGGGUGCAAGCGUUGUUCGGAAUUACUGGGCGUAAAGCGCGCGUAGGUGGUUUUGUGUGUCUGGCGUGAAAUCCCUUGGCUCAACCAAGGAAGUGCACCAGAAACUGCAGAACUCGAGUUCGGGAGAGGAUGGUGGAAUUCUCAAUGUAGAGGUGAAAUUCGUAGAUAUUGGGAGGAACACCGGUGGCGAAGGCGACCAUCUGGACCGACACUGACACUGAUGUGCGAAAGCGUGGGUAGCAAACAG